rnacentral:rRNA from 1 species
GACAGAGGUGCCGAGCGUUAGGCGGAAUCACUGGGCGUAAAGGGUGCGUAGGCGGCCGUGCAAGUCUGGCGUGAAAGCCCCGGGCUCAGCCCGGGAAGUGCGCUCGAAACUGCGCGGCUCGAGUGCCGGAGGGGAGAGUGGAAUUCCUGGUGUAGCGGUGAAAUGCGUAGAUAUCAGGAGGAAUACCGGUGGCGAAAGCGACUCUCUGGACGGCAACUGACGCUGAGGCACGAAAGCGUGGGGAGCAAACAGG